AUUUACUAAAACCAAUCUCGUCUCAAACUAAUACUUCUCACUCAUCUUCUAUUUACCCAAAUAAAUCUCAAUCCCUAGGUAUACUUAACUUCUAAGGAUUCACAAGUCCUACUCUCGACUAACCUCAACUCGGAUCAAACUCAUAGCAAUCAAGCACAUAAACAAGCAUAAACACAUAAGCAUAUCAAAUCACACAUAGACAUGUCACAAACAAACUUCAUUCUGCACUGACACGAAUUAUAAACGUCACCAGACUCGGCACAGAACUCCACUGGAGUCGUAACCUAUUCCAUUUGAAACCUCUUUGAGUCUAGUUUCAUUCAAAAAAAAGUAGGAUUAAAAACUCCAAGUAGUUUAGGAGAUAUGACUGUUUUACUACAGUCUACCAUAUUCGGCAGUUUUGAGCAAUCGAAAGCUUUGAUUUUUGAAAAAUAGUAAACUUGGAAAAGGUCUGAAAUUUGGUGGGUACAUAUCUAAGACAAUCAUGUCUUAACAAUAAAAAUUUGGGCUCCAAAACGUUAGGGAAAGAUACUGGAAAAGGUGACUCUAUUGGCUACUCACCGAACAUUUCGGCAGAACGUAGCAGUUUUGGUUUUCCAUUUUAUAAAAAUAGUAAACGAAGUCCAAAUGACUUGAAAUUUUACCAGUAUGUUCAAGACUCUCGUAUAAACGUAUCAUAAAAUUUUCAAGGUAUUUGGGUAACAAAAACCUUUCGAAAUCAGUAGGUCAGUGCGUCUCGAAAAUGACUCCCAACUCAAACACACAAGCAAACAUGCUCAACUCUACACUUCUUCAAUGAAAACUCCCAAAACUCAACUUAAGCACUUAUAGCACUCAAAAACAUUCAAGCACAACAUAUUACUCAUCACAACUCAAACUUGACUCUUCUCUUACAUCUCAAACUCAAAUCUCAAAGAAAACGUCUCAAAGAACGCAUCGUUUCAAUUCUCAUCUCAUUUUCAUGCUCAAAAGUACUCAAUUACUCAUAUAUGACCUCAUACAUCACAUAACUCAUUACACAUACAUAGAUUCUCUUAUAUCAUGCAAACUAAUCUCGAAGAAAAACUCACGUAUCAACGUAGACUCUUAAUUAAAGCAUGACAAAUGGUCACAUAAUGAUCGUAAAACAAUUAAACCUCAUUAAACCAAUCAUUGACCUCUCAACAUAUGAGAACUCAAAAACUCAUAUAAACUAAACUAAGUCAAAAUUUUA
rnacentral:lncRNA from 1 species